GAAGAAGAAGAGCGUUUUUGUGGCUCGUCCUGUGUCAACUUGUUCAUUUUCUCCUUUCAAGAUGACGACGUCUCGGGAGAGAAUGUGCCGCUCGGAAAUGCAGGACAGAUGCCAGGGAAGUCCAGAACACAUUGACAUGUCUGCGUUGCUUGAAACAUGACUUUGUGACUUCAAGGCAUCUGAACAGAAUCUCCACUUCGAGUUCCAUUCCGGAAUAGGAAUGCGUGUGCUGGAUACCUGAUUCCAGACCAUGACACUGAUGUGCUUCCUGAAAAUUAAGACAUGGGGGUA